rnacentral:rRNA from 1 species
UACGUAGGGUGCAAGCGUUGUCCGGAAUUAUUGGGCGUAAAGAGCUCGUAGGCGGUUUGUCGCGUCUGCUGUGAAAACUCAGGGCUUAACUCUGAGCUUGCAGUGGGUACGGGCAGACUAGAGUGCGGUAGGGGAGACUGGAAUUCCUGGUGUAGCGGUGAAAUGCGCAGAUAUCAGGAGGAACACCGGUGGCGAAGGCGGGUCUCUGGGCCGAUACUGACGCUGAGACGCGAAAGCGUGGGGAGCAAACAGG